AGGGACCUGGCUAUCCAGUGAGUGAUUGUGAGGUUGGGAACCCGGGGGCCGCGGGGCAACAGACCUCUAACUCGCUACUCUUCCAGUAGGUGUCCGGAGGUUGCACAGUAGUGCAGUGGCGCGGGCCGGCAGCCAGUGGCGACUCCAGCAAGGGCUGGCUGCCAAUCCUUCCGGCUAUGGGCCCCUCACGGAGCUUCCUGACUGGUCUUUCGCGGAUGGCCGCCCUGCUCCCCCAAUGAAAGGCCAACUUCGAAGAGAAGCUCAAAGGGAGAAGCUUGCAAGACGAGUUGUGCUGCUGACACAGGAAAUGGAUGCAGGAUUACAGGCAUGGAAGCUCAGGCAGCAGAAACUGCAGGAAGAAAGGAAGCAGAAACAUGACCUUAAACCUAAAGGGACGUCACUGAGGAACCCACUUCCAAAUCAAUAAAAAGCUCCUGUCCCACUUUC
rnacentral:lncRNA from 1 species